rnacentral:rRNA from 1 species
CCCUUAGAUGUUCUGGGCGGCCCGCGCACUACAAUGGCGUGUGCAGCGAGUGCCGAAGUAGAGUUUUCCGAGGUAUUCUUGCAAUGCUCGUUUUGAUGGGGAUAGACCCUUGCAACUGUUGGUUUUGAACGAGGAAUUCCUUGUAAGCAUGGUUUAUCAUCCGACGCUGAAUGCGUCCCUGCCCUUUGUACACACCGCCCGUCGCUCCUACCGAUGAGUCGUCCGGUGAAGUUCGUAGACCUCGUGAUCGCGGAUCACUGGGGGAAGCAAAAUGAACCUCGCGGUUUAGAGGAAGGAGACGUCGUAACA